UAGAACAUAGUCUCUGCUACGUUUUAAUAGAAACAAAGGAGUAAACUCCCACAUACAAAGGUGUUUAAAUAUUUCCAUUAUAGAACUAUUAAGUUCAUACUUCAACAGAAAACCAUACAACCACAGUUAUUAAACAUAAGCACUAAGGCCGGUAUAUAUAUAUACUACACAUAGUAAAAUAGAGCUUAAAUGCUUAUAUCAGUUGUGAGUUUGGGCCUCAUGAGCUUGUUNUAUAUAUAUAUAUAUAUAUAUAUACUACACAUAGUGAAAUAGAGCUUAAAUGCUUAUAUCAGUUGUGAGUUUGGGCCUCAUGAGCUUGUUUGUAUGCAGUUGCCUCUGCAUAAGUGCUGCAACACCUGCACCCUCCGUUGUAGUAACGUCCACCACCACAGCAACCAUAUCUACAAUAGCCUCCUCCACGGCCGCCGCCACCGUUGUAUCGUCCACCACCGUUAUUGUAUCUUCCACCACCGUUGUUGUAUCUUCCACCACCAUUGUUGUAACCUCCACCACCGUUGUUGUAACCUCCACCACCAUUGUUGUAUCCACGGUCAUUACCACCAUACUUUGCAUCUUCUACCUCACCUGCAUAUAUCAAUCAUUUUUUCAGUAAUGUACAUUUAAUUGCAUGAAUCCUGUAUAGAAUUCUGGGAAUUUUAAAGGAAACAUCCUGUAAAAAAAGCCAAUUUCAUGAUUUCAUCUAAGAACAUUAAAUUUACUCACUGUGAUUGUUGGACUCCAGGUUCUUAGCUGCAGCCAUUUCGGAGCUAAUGAAAAGAAUAGUUGCUAGAGCAAGUGCAAGAAGAAGGAAAGUCUUCGAAGACAUUUUGACGUGUUUCAGAAAGAAAAUAUAUUCAGAAAGAAAAUAUAUGGAAGAAGGAUGAAGAACCAUUGUGGUAAUAUUCCUCUAUUUAUGAGGAAGGAUUUAUGCAGGUGAAGAUUUAUUGCAGAUUGGUUUGGUGGCUAGGAGCUGGUGGGACCAAGCUUUGAUUGGCUUUGACAUUUUGAAACCUAUUCUUAUCCUCAACAUCUUGUGCCGCAAUUCAUUUGUUUUGUUUUAUAUUCUAAGAUGUCAUAUAAGAUGUCUCGUUCAGUAUAAAAACCAAGUUCAACCUUAAUUAUUAUUAUUUUUUAACUAAAACCAACUCAACAAACUUUGUGGUAUAGAAGUGUGAACGGGUCAACAUUUAUUUAUGAACCAUCCACCAUUAUCGUCUUGGAGCCCGAUGUGAGACUAAUAAUGUAAUAUGUUUUCCUUUGUCUACAGUUAUAUACCUCUCAUUUUUUUAAGUCCUUCAAAUUUUUUAGUUAGGGUACGUCUUCAGCUUUUGGUAUAUAUAAUUUCUAAAAUUUUUUAAUUUUUUAGCUAAAAGUUUUAAAUAAAGAUCUUAAUAAAAGUUUUAUGUAGACAUAGCAGGUAAACGGGUUAAAAGUUGCACUGCAAUCCUUUUUUGAAUAGUAAAACAAAUCUUUUUGAAAAUCACAUCCUAGAUCUAGGGUCAGAACAUUACUAUGCAUGACCUAUUGGACUCCAAUCAGGAGCUCCACAGCAUCUGGCGCAAAGAAACCAAAAUUUUCAAACAUGAAAUGUAUAAACAUGUGUUGAAUUGUCAUGCAUGUUUUCUCUUGUUUUGACACUUUGUAUGAGGCAUCUUCUAAAGCGGUAUGCCCUACAGUGAAAACGUCAUUCCCCAUGCCUAUAAGAGGGGAAACCUUUGUUAGAUCAACACAUGCGUGUUUCCAUCCUAUCCAUCCAAGAAUCAAAACAUCAGUUGGUUUAAGCAUUGAUCUACCAUCCAAAGGGUCAGUCAUAAAGUUCACAGGUGCCCCUUUCUUGGCUGAAACAUUGACAUGCCAAAAAAUUCAACGUCCCUAACCAAAUUCUGUCUGUACUUGAAACCCGAGAGCUCUCUACAAUAUAUUACGUGCUCUCCAAAAGAGUCCAAUCAUGCCUUGCGAUAGAUAAGAUGUAACUUGUUAACCAGAAAUAACAUGAUCAUAAGGUGAUACUUAAGGAUAACAUUAUACUCCAAAGGUAACAUAUGUUAGCCAAGGCCAUCAAUAAGACUGUCAUAAGAAAUAUGAAGCAUGUGGUGUUUGGAGAUACUUAAAAAUUGUUUCUUUCUAACUUUCAGGUUGAAAUGUACUUCCAUGUCUUUGGCAAUUUUAUUAAAAAAGGCACUCGCCAACGCAUGUUGGGAUUUAGGAGUGGUAAUGUCAUUAUUAGUAAAACUACUAAAGCCAAUGCUGAAAUCGUAUUCCGAAGAAAAGUCGAAGCACAAACAUAAUAAAAAAUCAUAGUACAUAUGUUAUUAUCCCAUAAGAUGUGCUCUUACAACACGGGUGAUUAAGCCCAUGAGGUCACAAAAGCAUAUGAGGAAGCCUCUACCAAUGAGUAUAACCCUAGAGCAUCAAACCUAAUAUUAAUGAAGCAAGUUGCUAUUGGAUGUCGCCAAAGAAAAGAACUCCACAAACAACCAUAUCCACAAUCGACACAUGACAUCUUUUAUCAAAGAACAUUGUUGCUUCCUACAUGUGAACGAGUUGGUACACACUCAAGCCAAUGAAUAGUUUGGCAAUGCCCAUGCGAGAUCAAAGCAAAAGGAAAUCACCCCAUAACACCAAACCUAUUUGGAGAACGGGCAUAUAAACAACAAUGUUGGCAAGUUUAUUCAUAGCUAAGCCACUAAUAAACCACACGUCCUUACUAAUAGCUCCCCCAAAAACUUCACCCCUAAUAAUGGCCUCCUAAUGUUGACAUGCAAUACCCCUCACGAAACUUCCUACCAUCACAUAAAUGCCAAAAUAGUUUAGUUUUCUUGAUAUUCAGUUUAAAUAUAACGUCACAUUUUUCGCAACCAAAAAUUUUCAUUUUUAAUUAAGGUAAGGCUGCUCCUUCUCAUAAUACAAGUUAAGAAAAGCAAUAGUUCCAAAGUAAAUUUUUGCAAAUCUAAGUAUUAUAGUAAACACAGAAUCUUCAUUGUUACUCCUGAAUGCAGUCACGCCUUCGUCUUUCCAUGAUCACUGAUGAUACCCGAUAACAAUAACACUUGGGUGAGCAUGAAGCUUAGUGAGUUCCCCCAAAAUACCUUACACAACAAAUACAUAUAUACAACCUGCAUACUAGGUUUGUUGGCUUGCUGCCUCAACCUAACCAUUCUUUCGGUUUGUUGGCAUGCUGCCUCAACCCAACUGCUUUUUGGGUUUGUUGGCCUGCUACCUCAACCUAACUGCUACAAUAUGUCGACAUAUAAACAAUUAACAGAUCGAGUAGGCACAUAAAUAUAGGAAACUACCAAUAAUACAACUCACUAUCGUGUACUAGACCACUAACAUCACACUACUCUACAAACAACAAAUCUCCAUGGAAUGCACAACCAUAAGUAACCAGAGGUGGGAUAGCCACCCGAAUAGAUGAUCAUACUCUAGAGCCACAUCUAGACGUUAACCAGCCAACUGAUACUCUAACCAACAUACCACUACUACUGCAUCAUACCACAUAAGGAUAUAAAUUUAUCAAACAGCUCACUACAACGUAGUAAUAUCCUAUACAAAAUGAUACGUAACCAAAUCUAGUGGGUCGACAUUGGUACCUUUGACCCACGGGUAUAGUGAGGAAAACUCACCUGAAUCGAAAAACCGAGAAACACUACGAUACUCUCCCUUUUCUACAUUGCUUGCUCCCACAAACCUUCUAACACAAAAAACAUGGAAGAACAUUAAUAAAAUAGGCCAACUACCUCUCACGGCGUGAAAAUCUAUUGGUCACGUCGUAAGCCGCUAAAAGACCAAAUAGUAACAAUCCUUCGAUCCUCACAACAUGACAGGCAUAGCAUCACGUCGUGAGAACUGUCUAAAUGACAUUUAGAUGAGUAAAACCCCUUAAUCCAUUAUGCCACAAAUCCACAUCCUCUAGAAGGCUUCCUAACACCCCAAAAGUCAUAAAAAUCGAUGCUUUAAGGUCUUGUAUGUCCAAUGCAAGAAUUGAGUUCAGAUUAGGUAAUUUAUGAAGAAAAGGAGGUCAAAACCUCUUGUAUGAGCUCAAACGUCACAUAAAUUUCAGAUCCACCACAUAUAAGCAGCAAGGGACUCCAAGGACCUAUAAAGUUGCUAACUUUAUGGUGUCCCAACACUCUAACUCAUCUAACCAUGGAUAAUCAUGAAUAAAACCCUAGAUCUAGCAACAAGAAAUCAUAAAGAUUGAAUCUUGGUUACUCACAAAGGUCCAUAAAUGUUGAUAGAAGAUGAAAAUGAUGCUUGCAAGUUGGAUCUAUCCUCCAAAGAUGAUCCGUUCUUCUUCAAGUCACCAAAACACCACCAAAUGCUCAAGAACUCAAUUAUGGGGCUAGCGUCUUGUUUGGAAUGAAAGGAUGCUGAAGAAGAUACCCUAGGUUAUGAGAUAAGUUCCUUACAUAUGGAAAAAACCCUAAAAUUCAUGGGCUUGGCUGCAACCAGCCUCACAAUGUUAGGACCAUAAUGUCACACCAUGACUCUCAUUUCCACGUGUCAUGUCACAACCUCCUCAUGGUCAAGCGUGACACCUAUUUUUCCUAAAAGUCAUGCCUUGACUCCUUGAUGCUCCAAGCCAAUUUGUUUUCCUAAAAGCGUAACCUAGAAACCCUGAACUCGAAACUCUAAACACUAAACCCUAAAUCUACAUCUUAUAUAUACAAGAACCAUUAGUAUAAUAUCUGAAUACACAUUGAUGGCUUCUUACCAUGCGACUUGGGCUGAAUGAAAUUGGAAGUCUCAUGUUGUAUCCAUUCAAUUUAAAGUCUUGCAUUAUUGAUCCGACAAAUAAAAAAGGUGAGAAUCAGCAUCAAGUAUGAUUCCUGCUGAUAGAGCAUAUAUUUCACUGGGCACUUGAAAACCCAACCCCACCCUACCCUCUAGAAUAUCUACACUGUUACAUGUAUAUAUUAUUGAUGUAACUCUAACUUUAAGACCACAACUUUAUGCAAAGCGUUAGCUCACUAGUUGGAAAAAGGGCUUAAUACACCAGUAAUAUGGAAAGGGUAGUGUAUAAUUCUCCCCCGAUUAAAUUAGAUUUCCCCCUCGAAAUAUGACGUGGUUAGAAUUUUAACUGCGAUAACACAAUUCAUAUUCUACCUCCAACCACUUCACAUAAUCAAUACAUCCAUAUCGAACUCGAGAGGCCAUCUAUAACCCAACGGAUGCCAAUAAACCACCCAAACAUUUGGAACACUCAAUUUCAAUAACUACUUCUUUCUCCCAAAGCUAAGAACCAACUCAUACCGAAGCCACUUAACUGGGAUCGAACUUCCAUAACUGUAUCUUCUAACCAUGUCCAUCAAUGUAGUUUACAAAAUUAGGAGUCCAACAGUCCAACUCUAGAGACAUACAUAAUGGAUGACAAUCAUCCACUCGUUAUUCUUACCCCAAGCCCCUGAUCAGGAACACCACUAAACUGUAUAUCAACACUCAAAACAUUUCGAUCAAGAAUUCCAACCCAACCUAAAUUUGGAAACCUCAUAAAUGUUCUCAAAUAUACACUUGACUUCCUGGCAAGUCGUGAGUAACCAACGUUUACCACAAGCAUAACCAUGGUUAGUACAAAACCCUAUGCGACACUCAAACUCCCACAACAGCUCAGGUGCACAACCAUCUACCAAAACAUCCCAGAGACUUAUCACCACCUGCAUCACUGAUCUCUUGGCAUUCCAACCAGCAUACCCAUACCCCUAUGUGAUUUCAAAAAACUAUGGGUCAUCAGCGACCCAUGGGUUAUCAUUGGUCCUGAAAAUACUCAUGACAUCUAUCAGCUACUAAGACUCAGCUAGUCUAGUAUGCACACCACUAUGACAUAGGAAAUAUAGGGGAGAGAUCACAUGAAACCUCAUCAUAAAACAAACAUAGGUCCGCUAAUAAGAAACCCAAUAAUGAGUUUUUAAUAUACCACCAUGACUUCUGUGAACACCCUAUAACUGUCAAACACAACAUGCCGGUUACUGAGCUGUCAGCGACAACAUUAUACUGCACAUUGUAUGCCUAUGCCACACAAUUAAUAAACCCACACUUGGGUCUCCACUACAAAACUGUCGGCCGCCACUAAAAAAUGAAAUCCACGAUGGCUCACAGCACUUCGUAACACCAUUCAACCAUUAGGAUGAGAAGCUCACUAAUUGUUACUGUUGUUUUCAUCAUCCGACCACAAGCAUGAUAAGUCCCAACCAACAUCCAACAUGAAACAUCCCAAAAAUACGGUCCAUAUAUUCCAUUUUUAAUUAUUUAUAAAACCAUAAAUACCAUCCAUCAUCCCAUAAGAACAUAAGUAAUGUAUCUCGAAUCAUCAUCAUAAUAUAUUGUAUCAAAAUCAUGUGCCAAAAUAUCAGAGUCUAAAACAUCCUAGGAUGAACAAAUGGUGUGUGCACUGCAAUCAUCCCGAGCUCUUGCCUUUGCUACCGGAAGUACUUGAAACCAAAACUGAAAACUGUAAGCACGAAGCUUUUUGAGUCUUCCCAAACUACCCUUUCCAUACACAUAACAUAUAACAUGAAACUAGGAGAUACGGGCCUCGCCCGAACUCGAUGAGAUACGGGCCCCUGCCCACACUUGGCUAACUAUGAGAUACAAGCCUCGCCCACACUCAGUUAACUAUGAGAUACAGGCCUCGCCCACACUAUGCUAACUAGGAGAUACGGGCCUCACCCACACUCAGCUAGCUAGGAGGUACGAGCCUCGUCCACUCUUCGCUAGCCGGGAGAUACGGGUCCCCGCCCACACUCCGCUAACUAAACAUACAUACAACUAUCACGCAGACAACAUGUAUAACAUAAUCUACCAGUUCAUAAACAUACUUAGGUAAUACUAAGAUACGGGCUCUACCCACACUUAGCUAUUAAUCAUAAACAAGUCUAAGAUACGGGCCCAACCCACACUUAUCUAUUAAACAUAAACAAUUCUAAGAUACGGGCCCAGCCAAAACUUAGCUACUAAACAUAAACAAUUCUAAGAGAUGGGCCCAGCCUACACUUAGCUACUCCAUACGGGCCAACAUUGGUGUCUUCGACCCAUUCAUACUGACGGAAACUCACCUCUUAACUUGGCUGAUGAAAUCUCGUGUAAGGAAUCUCCGACUACUGCUCCAACGACUCCCUGACUAUCAUUCACAUUAAUAACUUAGUCAAAAACGGAGAAUCCUUCUAAGGGUGAAAUGACCUUUUUACCCCUGGUCAAACUCAACAUUCUAAGUUGACCUAACUCACCGGGUUGACCUAUCAACUCGCCAAGUUCUAUAACUUAAAAAUCCUGAAAUCGCGAUCCAUCUCGCCAAGUCACCCCUUGACUCGCCGAUUUCCCUGUCUGCUUAUAGUCGCGAUUUGGCGAAUCAACUAGUCGAGUCCCUUCACAAACUCGUCGAGUUCUACCUUAAGCUGAAACGAGACAACACGACCCGACUUGUCGAGUUCCUCUAUGGACUUGAUGAGUUCCUCUGUUUGUUUCAGUCAUCUUAACAAAUUAAGCCUCUGCUCUCCAGAUCCAAAGUCCAUACUUCAUCUACAUAUUGGGAAUGGCCUCUUAAGGGUAAAGUUUCGAACUUUACCCGUCAAUAGUCCUUCUUAAUGGGUUUAGCUAAAAUCCUAUCUCUUUAGGGCAUAGAUCUUUGUCCAAAAACCAUACGACUCCAAACCAAAGCAUGAAAAUGUAGAUAUAGGUCCUAGACAACAAAUGGACACGUAAAGUCUCAGACUUUCCUUCCUUGUAUGGCAUUUUGGGCUUAAAAGGCCAAACCAACACCUUAGGGCUUGCUUGGGGGCUUUAAUUGCAUAAAGUUUGCACCUUUAUGCCUUAACAACCCUUAAUGAUCCCAAAUCUGAAGGGAUCCUUGCUUGGGACGUCCAUANAGUCACCCCUUGACUCGCCGAUUUCCCUGUCUGCUUAUAGUCGCGAUUUGGCGAAUCAACUAGUCGAGUCCCUUCACAAACUCGUCGAGUUCUACCUUAAGCUGAAACGAGACAACACGACCCGACUUGUCGAGUUCCUCUAUGGACUUGAUGAGUUCCUCUGUUUGUUUCAGUCAUCUUAACAAAUUAAGCCUCUGCUCUCCAGAUCCAAAGUCCAUACUUCAUCUACAUAUUGGGAAUGGCCUCUUAAGGGUAAAGUUUCGAACUUUACCCGUCAAUAGUCCUUCUUAAUGGGUUUAGCUAAAAUCCUAUCUCUUUAGGGCAUAGAUCUUUGUCCAAAAACCAUACGACUCCAAACCAAAGCAUGAAAAUGUAGAUAUAGGUCCUAGACAACAAAUGGACACGUAAAGUCUCAGACUUUCCUUCCUUGUAUGGCAUUUUGGGCUUAAAAGGCCAAACCAACACCUUAGGGCUUGCUUGGGGGCUUUAAUUGCAUAAAGUUUGCACCUUUAUGCCUUAACAACCCUUAAUGAUCCCAAAUCUGAAGGGAUCCUUGCUUGGGACGUCCAUAUCCCAAGGGUCAAGCUUCUUGGACCCAAAACCCAAUAAAAUGGACUUAAGGAGGUAUAAUAAACUAAUAAACAAGGUAGAAGCUUGAUUACCAGAAAAUGAAGGGAAUAAGAUGUUCUUCCGGAUCUACUAUCUUCUCCUUGAAUCUUCUAGCUCCUUCUUCUUCCACAAGCUUCAACAACACACAAAAUUCACUCAAAAUGGCUCAGUAACUCUCAUAAAGCUCUAGGGUUUCGUGGAUUACGGUUUGGGACUUGGAGGAUGGAAAUGAGGCCAUAAGGUGGGGAUUAAGAUGGUUAAAUAAGGUGUAAAACCCCGAAAUUAGGGUUUCAUUCUGGCAUACCUACUCGCCGAGUUGAGGGCUCUCAAGUCGUCGAGUAGAUUGCUUAAAACCCCACGGCUAAUCUCAUUCUACUCAACGAGACUGGAGCUUCUAACUCGUCGAGUAGCUCUAUAAAAAUGAAUCAGUUAUAAUUAAAUCUGUACCAGGAAUCAGGCGUUACACAACGACCUAUAACACACUGCCAUCAUUCCACUAACUGGUAGGAACCCAAUCAACAUCCCACUCCGCACUUGUCAUAAAAUCUAGGAGCCAUACCAUUCUAAAGCACACACUCUGCUACAAUCUAGUGCCAUCGACACAUCGCCAAAUGAAACAUGACCACGCAUAACCAGGGUUAGAUAGAUAACCGAACUCUUGUUCUAACUUAGAAUCACAACUUUUCACACCUUCCAGGAAGAAACACAACCCCCCCCCCCCCUAGAAAAUUGUGUUCCUUCUGAAUUGUAACCUAACCCAAAAAAAUUGACAUACCAGCGAGUCGGACGAUCCGACAAACUUUGUUUAUGAACACAUGAAAGUGUAUAUCAUAAAAAACAUGUCAUAUAUCCUAAAAUUUAAAGUCUUUACAAUAUGUAAUUCUGCAUGUCAAAAGAUUGAUGUCACAAUUAAUGAAACAUGGAGUAUACCCCCGUCAAAAUGUGUGUGUCAACUACAAAGGCUGUGAUCUUAUAAUUUUGCAAACCCAACGAUCCUUUUACAAAAUCGAUUACAAAGUAGAGAGACCUAACAAAAUCAUGCUCGCUCCUAGCAUAAGCAACUAUGACUCUAACUCCUCACGUCACUAUGUCAGCGACUUCAACUCCUCACGCUCACCGCACCAACAAUUGCGUUUCACCACUACACCUCAUUCAUGACGAUUGGGGUUCAAUUAAACUGGUAUGUUUUCCUUCAUGUAUCAAAGAAGUAUGUACUUUCUUUUUCUCUUUCUUCUUCAUGAAUCAUCUUCCCUUCCUUUUUUGACAUUUCUUCACAUAAACUAUGGUGUGAAUCACUGUAAUUUUUUUUUUACGUUUUCAUGUUUAAUAUUAUAUAUUUUUCCUAUGUAUGAGUAUGCCAUAUAUGAUACAUUUUUGAUUAGUUGCACUUUCGUUUUUAUCUCCUGUAGUAAUAUAUUUCCUUAAUAACUUUCAUUCGUUAAGUUAAAUAUAAACUAUUUUUUACGAGUUUAUUUUUAUGUAUGUGUUGGUAUAACUUUAAAGCGGUCGAUGUUUCGACGAAAAUAUAGAAAUUUUGGUUUUAACUUUUUUUUUUAAAAAAAUUAUUUGGUUUUUGUGUGUACGCAUCGGUAUAUAUUUGUGUUUUCUACGUGUCGACGUAAUUUGUUUACAUAUUCUUACUAAAUUUUAUGUACAUGUACUACAUAUGAGUCGAGUCAUAUAUAAUACGCUUUUGAUUAUUUGAAAUUUCAUGUUUAUCUCUCAUAGUAUCUAUAUAAUUUGAUUUUCCUUUAUAAAUUCCGUUCAUUAACUUAAAAGAACAUGUUUUCUGGUGCUAAUUUUUAUGUAUGUGUGAGUAUAAAUUUAAAGUGGUCAACGUUUCGAUGUAAAUUUAAAACUUUCAUUCUUUAAUUAGUAAAUCUUACUUGCUUUUUUAUAUACGUAACGAUAUAAAUUGUAGUUUGUCUAUGUUUCCACAUUUUUUUUCUUGAUUUUAUGCUUAUUUUUAUGUACACGCUUGUUUUUUCUAUUCGUGCUUAUUUUGUAACGUUUUGAUGUAUUAUCUAUCAAUAUAAUCAUCAAAAUUCAACUUAAAAUAUUCAGUACUUUUAAUCACACUUUUGUUUUUUUUCGUUCGUGCAUAUUUUGUUAUGUUUUGAUGUAUCAUCUAUCAAUAUAAUCAUCAAAAUUCAACUUAAAAAAUUCAGUACUUUUAAUCACACUUUUACCGAUUGUAGUGAUAAAAGUUGAAUUUAUACGAUUGUAUUGAUAAAAGUUAGAUAUCAUUGUAUAUGUUGGUAAAAAACAUAUAAAGUUGAUACCACUGACUAACUCCGUUUUAUACCGUCAAAUAAAAACAUAUUAUAUGUGAUCAAACUUAUUCGUAGGAAACAUACAUAAACGUACAUGAAAACAAACGUAAAGAAAACUCGAAUUUAUACCGACAUCUAUAUAAAAAUAAGCAAGUAAGAUUAUAUUUUUUAAAAGUUAACGAACAAAAGUUCAAAUAAUCAAAAACGUAUUAUAUGUGACUUCGCUCAUACAUAAUAACAUACAUAAAAUUAAACAUAAUAAAUUACGUAGAAACAUACACAAAUUCAAAUUUAUACUGAAACGUACAUAAAAAAGCAAGUGAACUUUAAAAAAAAAUUAACGAACGAAAAUUCUAAAUUUACUUAGAAAAGAUGACGAACAUGAAUUUAUACCGACACAUAAAUAAUAAUAGGCACUCAAAAAAUUAACUUUUAUUAAGUUAACGAAUGAAAGUUAUCAAGAAUAGUCAGAUUAUAUGUACCAUGGAGGAUAAAAACCAAAUUUUAGAAAAAUAAGAUGAUGAAAGUAACAUUUUAUAAAGUUGAAAGUGGAUAGUCAAAAUGACUAAGUAAAGUGAUGGAAAAGUUUCAAACUCAUAAACAGAAAAUAUAGACAAAAUUAUAUACAUUUUCCAUAUGGUUUACUAUGGUCACAAAAUUAGUCCAUGCUAAACGUGAAAAGACCAAACUGUCAUCUUAUUAACGGACGAAGAGUAACGGUGUGAGCAAAAUGGACAGUUCGUUAAAGUUUAGGAAAUCAUAGGAACCAUCUUCGUCAAAAUAAAUUAGUAACGACUGAGUUUGAGUUUGUAACCUUAUGAUAAACAACAGAAACCAUUUAUGUAAUUUUUUAAGAAAAAAUUCUCAAAAGAAAUCAUAGAAACUGUGAAAUUGAAUCAACUAAUCAAGUUGUAGAUAUAUUUACCAAAAUCCUGCCUGUUUGACAAUAUUAGUUUAUUUGCAAGGAGUCGUAGAUCGUUGAUAUCAUGAUUCAAUGUCAUGAUUGAGUGGGAAUGUUAAAAAGUGGAAGUUCUCUCGUUAUUUAAAUCUUGGGAAUGUUAAAAAGUGGAAGUUAGAUUUUGAUAUUGGUUUAAUAUUUAAUGUUGAGUGCAUAUGUUCAUAAUUGUUUUGCCGGUAAAUUUAAAACAAAUUAAAUUUAAUGGAAAGGAGCAUUACCUAGUACAUAUUAUAUAGUUAUGUAUAAAUAUUAUUGCAAAAUACAGGUACUAGAUAUGUAAUAUAUGUAUAUGUAUAUGAACUCUAUGACAUAUAGUUUUCUUGGUAAUAAAAAUGCUCCUCCAGUAGUUUUUCAUCUUCUCUCUCUUGUUCUUCUAUAUUCACAUUUUGUAUUUCAAAUAUGUUUGUAUUGUUUUUUAUGUAUUGCUUGGAUAUAAGAAAUCUAUGUCUGUUUCUUGAAUUUUUUAUUUUAGUUUAUAUUUUAUCUUAUAAAUCCUUGCUUUGUCUCAUAUUCAAACCUAAAACUCACAUUUAUAUAGAGAACAUAGUCUCUGCUAUGUUACGAUAGAAACAAAGGACUGAAGGUGUACACUCCCACAUACAAAGGUAUUUUAAUAUUUUCAUUAUAGAAUUAUUAAGUUCACACAUCAUCAGAAAACCAUACAACGACACUUAUAAAACAUAAGCACUAAGGCCGGUAUAUACUACACAUAGUGAAAUAGAGCUUAAAUGCUUAUAUCAGUUGUGAGUUUGGGCCUCAUGAGCUUGUUUGUAUGCAGUUGCCUCUGCAUAAGUGCUGCAACACCUGCACCCUCCAUUGUAGUAACGUCCACCACCACAGCAACCAUAUCUACAAUAUCCUCCUCCACGGCCGCCGCCACCGUUGUAUCGUCCACCACCGUUAUUGUAUCUUCCACCACCGUUGUUGUAUCUUCCACCACCAUUGUUGUAACCUCCACCACCGUUGUUGUAUCCUCGGUCAUCACCACCAUACUUUGCAUCUUCUACCUCACCUGCAUCAAUCAUCAUUUCAGUAAUGUACAUUUUAUUGCAUGAAUCCUGUAUAGAAUUCCGGGAAUUGUAAAGGAAACAUCCUGUACAAAAACCCAAUUUCAUCUAUAGAUGAACAUUAAAUUUACUCACUGUGAUUGUUGGACUCCAGGUUCUUAGCUGCAGCCAUUUCGGAGCUAAUGAAAAGAAUAGUGGCCAGAACAAGUGCAAGAAGAAGGAAAGUCUUGGAAGACAUUUUGACGUGUUUCAGAAAAAAAAUAUAUUCAGAAAGAAACUAUAUGGAAGAAGGAUGAAGAAGCAUUGUGGUAAUAUUCCUCUAUUUAUGGAAGGAUUUAUGCAGAUGAAGAUUUAUUGCAGAUUGGUUGGGUGGUUAGGAGCUGGUGGGACCAAGCUUUGAUUGGCUUUGACAUUUUGAAACCUAAUUCUUAUCCUCAA
rnacentral:lncRNA from 1 species